GGAAGCCGGUCCGAAGCCGGCGCUGACCCGCAACCGUAGGCCGCGCCCAUGUCCCACCCAGCCGCGGCGAGCCGGAACAC
rnacentral:ncRNA from 2 species